GUGGAAAUAGAGGCUCAGAGAGAGUAAAUGACCUUCAAGUUCUGGACAUGACCUGAAUGUUAGAGGCAAAAUACUUCAAGAGAUACCACCAGUGGUAAGCACUGACCCCAGUGAGAAGGGAAAAGUAGACCCAGGAGACUGACUGCAAAAAGAAGAGUUAGGAAAACCGUGAAAAGAACAUAAGAAAUAUUUGCUUGCCAUGGAUGAGUCACUUCCUUGGUUCUUUACAAGGUUACAGCCCCAGAAAAGAGCCGCUUCUCUGAUGCACCAGGACUUCAGCUCAGCUGGGCCGCAGGGUUACUUUCAACGUGAGACUGAAGUUUGAAAUCGGUUCCUUCAAGCCCGUGACCUGGUGAGCUCUGGGAAAUGUGACCAGCUGGAGUAAAGGAAGUGAACCCGAACGGCCAGUUCUCUUGGGCGAACGUGCUCAGCGUCGCAGAAGCAAGGGCCUGCAUCCGGACGUCCCCCCCUUGGACCUCACAGCCGCUGGCUUCACUAGGAACAUCCUGGGCCGAAGUGUGCUGAUGUGUGUGCCCUACGUAUCAGGAAGACAUCGCUUCUCUGAGGCAAGGCUGCACAUUAACCUAUUUGCAUUUCAUUGCUGUCCA